AUGUCAAGACUUCUCAAUUGUAAAUUUUCAAUAUUAGCGCUUGUUAUGAUAAUAUGUCUAACCCCUUUGUAUUUCAACUACAAUUCUGAAAAUACAUCAUCGAUUGAAGAAAUAAAGUUAAACUCAUCAAUUCCAGUGUCUGAAAUUAACGCUGAAAAUGAUCCGAUCAAAAUCACAAGAACUGUGAUACCAACGACCUCAUACCCAACGCUAGUUCCUGGAAGGGCCAAGAAUCUGACAAAUACAGUGAAACGUAGAUCUAAUUUUGCAAUCGAUCCAGUAUCUAGAAUUAAAGCUGGAAAUAAAUGGAUUGUGGUCACAACUAUUAGUUCGCCAACGGAAGAUAUCAAGAGACUUGCAUCAUUUGUGGAUUGGAACUUGGUAGUGGUUGCAGAUACCAAAACUCCGUUAGAUUGGAAACUGGAAAAUGUUCACUUCUUGUCUGUGCAAUAUCAAAGACAGUUGCCUUUUUCCCUAGUUUCAUCACUGCCUUAUAAAUCUUAUACACGGAAAAAUAUUGGAUAUUUGUAUGCAAUAUCUCAAGGAGCUGAAUGGGUUUAUGACACUGAUGAUGACAAUAAACCUUAUGAUAAGUUAAGAAAAAUUAAAACAAAAACAAUAGUUUAUUUAUUUUAGGGUUAGGAUUGAAUCAAUUCAAUUUCCAAGAAACCAUUUCUGGAAUGCGAUUUCGACCGAAAAAUGGAAACUCUACAGAAAUACGACAACGUCUUUUCAACCCUUAUCGAUUUUAUGGUAUGGAUCGAAUGUGCCCAAGGGGGUUCCCGUUAGAACAUUUUGAUAAACACACUAAUGGAAAUGAAACUCUUGUUUUAUGCUAUCAGAUGAAACGAGCAGCCGUGCAACAAGGAUUGGUUCAUCACGACCCGGACGUUGACGCCAUUUAUAGAUUGAUACAUGCUGAUUCGAAAAACGGCUUGGACAACAGAUUCAACAAAUUCGCUCCCGCUAUCACUUUAUCAGUUGGCACAUAUUCUCCAUGGAACUCACAGAACACUAUGUUCCACAAAUCAGCUUUUCAUACUUUGUUUCUUCCAACGACAGUUUCUUUCAGAACCACUGACAUCUGGAGAAGUUUUAUUUCUCAAAAAAUACUACAUCUAUCGGGGUUGACAGUAUCGUUUGUGCCGACAAACGCUGUUCAAUUUAGAAAUGCUCAUAACUAUUUAAAAGAUUUGAAAGAUGAAAAACAAGUUUAUGAAGAUUCUGGUAGAAUGAUUGAAUUUUUGCAUAAUUGGAAGUGCUCCACAAGAAAUUCCAGCCAAAACUGUAUAAUUGAAAUGACCAAUGAUUUGGUGAAAAAGAAGCUUCUAGGAAAAGAAGAUGCAAAAUUGAUGGAAAUGUUUUUGAAUGAUUUAACUGAAAUGGGAUUUAAGUUUCCCAUUUUGAUCGAAAAUGACUUUUUGGAUCCGUAUGCACCAUCAACAAAUGAAACCUCCAGAGAUGUCAACUGUCGAAGGAUGCACUUGGAGUUUGAACUUGUAGACCCAAACAAGAAAGUUUCAGAGGUCACUCAAAAAUCGAUACAGAAGCUGGAUUACUUUGGUGAAAUUAUCAAUUGGUGCGGUGAAACUGGAGAAUCAAUUGUCUCAACCAAGCUUUCUUCACCAAAACAAGUGCAUGACCAACAUAGAACAUCUUAUGUUUUACAGAAGCAUAUGAACAGUGUGUUGAUAGUGGUAAACAAUUACCCUUGGAAAUAUGGUAUGGGCUUGAUACAGCGACUUUAUCAACCAUACUUCGCCAUGGUGAUUUUCUGUGGUCCAUGGUAUCCUGCACAGUUUUCCGAUGACACAAAUUUCACAUCAACUAUUUCUCCAAUUAACUAUAUUCAUAUGAAUCCAGCUGAAAUUGAGAAAGGAUUCUAUGCAUACCAUUGUGCCACACUUGUCCAAGAAUUAGGCAUACAAAAUGUUGCAGGGUAUUUUCUGAUGGGAGACGAUACUGUAUUUAAUAUUUGGCAACGGAUCGAUUUUUCACGAAUCCAUCAUUUAACUGGUGUUUCAUUUGAGAAAAGUUCUGAGUGGUGGCAGUAUCCAGAUAUAGGAAUGGGAGCUGCCAAGAAUGUUGUGAGAUUUGUUAACAUCAGUAGAGACCCAAAAAUUGCUGAAACGUGGAAAAGAUUAGACACCGGGCUAAUGAAAAGUGGGUAUCUAACAAAUAAUGUAACCGUGAAUGAUGAGAUGACAUCGGGACAUGGAAGAAGUUUUUCUGAUUUCUUCUACAUCCCAGCAUCUGAAAUCGAUUAUUAUGCGAGUCUGAUGAGAAUUUUCUACGAGAACAAGUUAUUUUUGGAGAUAGCAGUAAACAAGUUUCUCAAAUCUGUCAAUUAUCAAACAUCAUUGUCCGGAACUUCUAGUUACUUAUGGGAAAACGACAGAAACAAUUGGGAUUCAUUCUACAGUAAAGACAUGGUUGCAAUGCAUCCGGUGAAAUUGAGCACUCUAAAAACGUCUUACGAGAAUAGAACAAGGUACUGUACAACGAUCGUUCAGUCAUGGGCUGAUAUCAUAUUCUCUGGAUCUCAAGAUUUCAAAAUAAAAGCGGACAAUGAGACAAAUCAUACAAACGGAAGCAUAACAUUUUUUGGGUCAAUUUUGAUAAUUAUUAUUGUUUUACUCUCAUUCCAUGUUUAA